CAGUAGAACGUGUUAGUCGGUUCCUCAGGAGACCACCCUGGGGAGGUAACGGGGAAAGCGCGGUGAAAAUCCGCCACUGUCCCGCAGCUGUGAACCAAGCCGUUCCCGGUUUUGGUAGUCAGAACGCCCGCCGAGCUUGUUCCCUACGA
rnacentral:ncRNA from 2 species